UAGAACAGAUACUUCCUAUAG
rnacentral:piRNA from 1 species